AUUGAACGCUGGCGGCAGGCCUAACACAUGCAAGUCGAGCGAGCGGCGGACGGGUGAGUAAUGUAUGGGGAUCUGCCCGAUGGAGGGGGAUAACUACUGGAAACGGUGGCUAAUACCGCAUACUAUCGGAUGAACCCAUAUGGGAUUAGCUAGUGGGUGGGGUAAAGGCUCACCUAGGCGACGAUCUCUAGCUGGUCUGAGAGGAUGACCAGCCAAACUGGGACUGAGACACGGCCCAGAUUCCUACGGGAGGCAGGAGUGGGGAAUAUUGGACAAUGGGCGCAAGCCUGAUGCAGCCAUGCCGCGUGUAUGAAGAAGGCCUUAGGGUUGUAAAGUACUUUCAGCGGGGAGGCGUUACCCGCAGAAGAAGCACCGGCUAACUCCGUGGCAGCCGCCGCGGUAAUUC
rnacentral:rRNA from 1 species